CUUGGUGAUUCAUAAUAACUUUUCGAAUCGCAUGACUUCACGUCGGCGAUGAAUCAUUCAAAUUUCCGCCCUAUCAACUUUCGAUGGUAGGAUAGAGGCCUACCAUGGUGGUAACGGGUAACGGGGUGUUAGGGCACGACACCGGAGAGGGAGCCUGAGAAACGGCUACCACAUCCAAGGAUGGCAGCAGGCGCGCAAAUUACCCAAUCCCGACACGGGGAGGUAGUGACAAUAAAUAACAAUACGGGGUCCUUUCGGGUUUCGUAAUUGGAAUGAGUACAAUUUAAAUCUCUUAACGAGGAACAAUUGGAGGGCAAGUCUGGUGCCAGCAGCCGCGGUAAUUCCAGCUCCAAUAGCGUAUAUUAAAGUUGUUGCAGUUAAAGAGCUCGUAGUUGAAUUUCGGGAUCAGUACGUUGGUCGUGCCUUCGGUACGUACUGGUGUUACUGGUUCCUACCUUCUGAGGAACCGUUAUGUCAUUAAUUUGGUGUGAUGGGAAAUCAGGACUGUUACUUUGAAAAAUUAGAGUGUUUAAAGCAGGCUCGCGCUUGAAUACAUUAGCAUGGAAU
rnacentral:rRNA from 1 species